CAGGAGCUACGCGCAUGGAUGCGCGUAGCAGACCGGGCCGGUCAGGAGGACCGAUCCCGGUCGGUCCGUC
rfam:Pantoea wallisii strain LMG 26277 Contig0045_, whole genome shotgun sequence.